UACGUAGGGGGCUAGCGUUGUCCGGAAUCAUUGGGCGUAAAGAGCGUGUAGGCGGCUCGGUAAGUCCGCUGUGAAAGUCGGGGGCUCAACCCUCGAAUGCCGGUGGAUACUGUCGAGCUAGAGUGCGGAAGAGGCGAGUGGAAUUCCUGGUGUAGCGGUGAAAUGCGCAGAUAUCGAGAGGAACACCUGCGGCGAAGGCGGGUUGCUGGGCUGACACUGACGCUGAUGCGCGAAAGCCAGGGGAGCGAACGGG
rnacentral:rRNA from 1 species